rnacentral:rRNA from 1 species
CGGUUAUAGUAAGACAGAUGUAGAAACGUCCCCGGGCUACCAACCGUAGGGAACUGCUAUUUGUGACUGCAUGGCGUAGAGGUACGGUAGAGGGGGGAUGGAAUUCCGCGUGUAGCAGUGAAAUGCGUAGAUAUGCGGAGGAACACCGAUGGCGAAGGCAAUCCCCCUGGGACCUGUACUGACGCUCAUGCACGAAAGCGUGGGGAGCAAACAGGAUUAGAUACCCUGGU